AUGCGCACACGGUCCGCCACCCCAGGGCCAGUGGAGCCAGUGACACCUGCGAUCAACAGGUCCCGGGAGCCCCGCCCUCUCUCCGCCUCGUGCUCGCCCCCUCCUCGGAGCUGGCCCCGCCUUCACGCUCACCAAGCUGACUCCGCCCCCGCCCGAGAUUUCCCGGCUUUCCGGACCUUCCUAACUGUAUUCCCGCGGGGAUUCGAUGGGGCGCGCGAUCCAGUUGACUUACUCUGAGGCGCGAGAUCCCGCGAGAGCCAGAUCUUGACGAUUUCCCCCAAAGAGGGAGCUUAGCGCUGGAGCUUAGCUGUUGGAGGAAGGUGAUUGCAGGUUAUGUUGUGUGGCGUACGGAAUAGGAAAGACUACUUCCUCAGGUGGAGGACUGAUUUUCAAUGUGCUGUAAAGGAAGAAUUAAUAAAGGAUGAUAUUAAACCGUGGAUCUCAAACUUCUUAACAUAUGAAAUUGAUCAUAUUUUCAGCUUGCAGUUCUGCAUUGUACAGAGAAAUGGAUAUGCUCACAAAAAGGAAAUUCAGAUGUUUGGGGAGCAAUAGAAGAGAAAUAUCAGAGAAAUGACUUAUAUCACAACAGCUCGCACAGCAAACCAUUAGAACAAGUGGACAAUCCGUUGGGAUACAGAUAGGCAGCCAAUCAGCAGAACAAGGGAGUUAAAAAGCACCUACUAUGCAACCAGGACUCAUCUAGGUAGCAGUUUUCUCUGCACAGACGAAUGCGUCCAAGAUGAAGGGAACCUUUAGAAUGACCGAUGUGGUUACAGGUCAAACCAUGUUCUCCAAAUCAACUUUACCAAUAAUAAAGUUGAUUUUUUAAAAAACUCCAUCUAUCUAAUUCUGGUCUAUUUCUUAAUUGGUUCAGAAAUUAAAAGAGGAGAGGAGGAUAAUUAAUUAUUGCCCCCUAAAUUUUCACAACAUGCUCAUUAUGUAACAACUUAAUUGUAUGGAAUCUUUUCUUAAACUAUUUUUAGUAUAGAAACGUUUUCAUCAACCAACUUUUGGUAAGUACCAAUGGACAGUGGUUAGACGGUGCACUCCCUGCCAUGCUCCUGUGAUUCAACCAACUGAAGAACCACACUGGCCAUAGGAUGGAGGAGACUGAAAGAAGUUGCCCCAGUAGAAGGCUGUUCCAUUUCCCAUGGAGACAGGUUGGGUUUGGGUAAGACUCCCAAGGUGAAGUUUAAGGUUUCCAUUCAGGGCCCUUAUAUGUGGAAAGGCAGCCAAGGCCCCCAUUGUACACCAUACAGUGUGACUUCAAUAACUUAAUCCUAGAAAAACUUUGGAGCAAAUACAACUAAAUGCCUACCUUAACCAUAACAAAAUGAAAAACUUAAAGCAUUUAACAUUGAGCAAUAGUGCCUUUGUAUUAUUUAUACAGCAUUGAGGACUUUGAGCAAAGCCCCUAGUGUUUUCCUUGUGUUUUCAAAACAUACUCUUGGUAAUGCAACAAACUAACUCACUAAAUAGGUUUUUUGACUCUUCUUACCAGUUAAACGUCAGAAUCAUCCUCUCAAAACACCCACCUUGGUUCUGGAGCAUUAGAUCUGUAGUUCUCUGUUGUGGCAGUAAUUGGAUAUAGCAGAACCAGUUUUCUCUUACAAUCCCCCCAGAUUUAUAACAAUAAAAUAAGGUUACCUGCACUUUGAAGUAUAUUUAUCUUUCUAUUAUUUACAAAUACAUUUGUAAUUGGAGAGUUAAGUGCGGUGGUUAGGAUACAGGCAUGCAUCAUCUUGUCCAAGGGAGGUAUCACUCAAGGUAUCAAAAGGUAUAUAGUUAAAAAAAAAAAGGCAGGGAGAAGCAAAACCCAUUCCUGUUUGUCUUAGAAUAUCGAGGAGUACUACAAGACAGAUUUAGUCUCUAGUGACUGUGUCAUGGAUCCUGAUCAGAAAUAACCACUGAGGCUCUUGUUUGGCAGAAAUGGUAACACAGCCAUUGGAAAUUUCUCAGUAAGACAUCUGCUUAUUUAUACUUGGUUCCCACUAAACUGUGAGCACCUAAAGUCAGAAAUGAAGUUUAUUCAUCUCUGAGUUUAUUCCUGGGACAUGAUAGGCAUUUGACAUGUAAUUGUUAAAUGAAUGAAAUCUGUUGAUAAUUUAUAAUUUGGGAGUAAAAUAGAUGUCAGGUAAAGCUUUUGUUGGGUGAAUAAUGAAUACACAUUUUCAGCACAUGUCCAGGAAGUCUCAUGAAUGCCAGCUAUCAAUUUUUGCUGUCAUUAAACAGAAGCCCUAGAGAAUGGACAAACAUGGCACCUAAUGCUACGCUAAUUAAAUGUAGAUGCACAUAUACCUGAAACUAGGAAAGCACUCAAUCUUUUUCUUUAAAUACUAUAAUUAAAAUUUUAACGGUUUUAUCACAUAUUCACCCAUUAAUCCAUACGAUUUUGAGACAUUUAAAAAAUAUGUAUUUUAUAAAAAUUGACUCAUCCUAUUUUUACUGUUCUGUAACCUUUUUUUCACUUAACAAUAUUUAUUAUUAUUAUGCCAUAUCAAUAUAGAUAGAUGUACAUUUACUUUAUCCUUUUCAAAGAGUUACAUAGUAUUCUAAUAUAUGGAUUUCAAUUCAAUUAAAAACUAUUUUUUGAAUAGCCUGUGUAUUCCAGAGAAUAUUUUAGUACUUGGCAUACAUCCAUGAACAAUCUCAAUGAAGAUUUCUGCCCUCUCUUGCCUUUCCUGUAUGAACUGCAUUUCAUUAUCUCCAGUUGAGUGUGAGGAGAAGUGAUGUGUGCAAGCAUCAGGGACUGGUGAGCUUGGUCCAUAAAUCCCUCUUGAAUCCCCUCCAUACUCUUUUUCUCUUCCUUUGGGCUGGGAUGGUGAUGAUGAUGGCUGGAAUCAUCUCAGCAAGAAUGAGUUAUAGACGGCAGAGUCCCCAGUAAGCUGGGUCACUAAAUAAUUACUUAGAGUAGGAGCUACCUCUCUUCCUCCUCCCGCUAACUGGGAACAUCUACCCUAAUCUGUUAAAGUAAAGAAAUAUAAACUUCUAUUUUGUUUCAGCUAUUUCUUUUAGGUGUAAUGGUUACAGCAGUUUAACCUAUCUUAACUAAUAUAUGUGUAUUAGUUGCAUUGUGAAGCCCAACUCUUUAAUUAUAGGAAAAUAUACAUAUUAUAAAAUAUGCCAUUUUAACAACUUUUAAGUAUACAGUUCAUUGGCAUUAUAUUCACAUUGUUAAACCAUUGCACCAUCCAUCCCCAGAACGUUCUUCAUCUUCCUAAACUGAAACUUUGCACCAGCUAAACAACUCGUCACCCUUCCCUCUUCCCUGUCCUUGUCAACCACCACCCUACAUUCUGUUUCCAUGACCUUGAGUACUCUAGGGACCUCAGGUAAGUGAAACCAUUUAGUAUUUGUCCUUUUGCGACCAGGGAAAAUACUCAGUCUUUUACUUGUGCUAACCCCCAAUAUCUAAAUACAAACAAUAGACAUUACCACGAGGCAAUUCUAGGAAGCUUCUCUCUGCUUUUUAAAAGAAGCCAGGUCCUCAUCUAGGUAGGUUUUGUUGUCAUUUUUACUAACUUUUUCAUGUUUUAAAAAAUAACUGAUUAUUUAAAAAACUUAUAACCAACUUCUAAGUAAAUAGGUAUUUCCAUAUAUUAGUGAUCUUAUAGAAAGAACACCCAGAACUUAAUAAAACCCUAGAAGCCUUUAGAAAAUCCUGACUCACAAGAACAUAAUGUUUAUUUGGUUUCAGGCCACUGGCUAUUUCAUUGUUGGGAUUUUCCAAGUCAGGCAGUGUUACACUUGUAAUAUGCAAGGGAGCAUAAAUAAUAAUGACCAUAAAUGAAAAGUUGGCCUUUCCUAAUCAGAUGUGGAGACUAGGUUUUCCAAAUCCAGUGUUCUCUUUAGAUCAGCAGAGGGCAGUGAAAGCACUGGUAAUUGGCUAUAUAAAUGUUUUAUUACAAUCUGGGGAGAAACUUUCUAUAUCCUUACAACUGCAUUUUCCAUUUUAAACACCACAUGUGUAAGUGGUUUAAAAGACACUUAGUGGUUUGGUCUCAGAUGUAUUUUUGGAACCACACAGAAUGUUUAAAAAGUACAAUGAAAUGUCUAUAUAGCAUUUCAUGGACUUAUAGUUCAAUUUAAUAUAACAGAAAGAGAUGUUUUAGAGGAUACUACUAUAUUGUGACAUUGGUCUAAAAUUUACCUAUAUGGUAUAGGAGAUAUUAAAACUGUGGUAAACCUAUCAGAGACAAAGGACUGUGUUUAUAUUAGUGUAGAAUUUAAGAACUGCGAGAGAUCCUCGAGGAAACUAAUGACCCACUCCCCUCUUUUUAACUGACCUGGAAAUGUUACUAGAGUCUCUCAACUAGAUAAGACUAAGGUAUAAUCAAAACAGUGGUCUCUUUACACCUUUAUUUCUACAGAUUUUUGCUUUGCCACACCAUAUUUCAUAAUACUUAACCAAUUAUGACCUCUGGUCUUAUUCUCAGGGCUCAAAGGUCUAGGAAUCCUCACUUGGAAAAUGCAGUAGUGUUCAAAAUCACUAUGAUCUUGUCUUCUGCAAAAGUUUGUUUUCAGGAGGGAGAAAUAAACCCAGUUAUGUUUACACAUUUGAAAUUUUUAAAAUUUCUCUACCUAUAGAAAAUCAUUAUGUGUUUCAUGAUCUUCAAAAGUAAGACACCCCGACUCCCUGACCUCAACUCCAGGACUAAGUAGAAGACACUCUCUUCUAAUCUCAGCAGGUCCACACAGACCUGGCCCCCUUUCCUUCUGGGUAUGUCCACCAUAUCACAGUUAGAAAUUUUGCUAGACGGGACUGGAACUGGCUAUUAGUGCUUUUUCAGCUGUCUGUGACCUCCCAAAGCCUGGGCUUCGAUCUGGAAAAUCUGUCACUCACUUUCCCUACUGAGUUAGGAAUGUCAACAUCAAGGGAAAUGGUUAAGUGGCUGAUGCAAAAAUAAUACCCUCUGGGAGAGAAGAUACUCAGUAAAGCCAGGACACUGCUGUAAUGGUUACUAUGGAACAUUUUGCCUCUAGACUUUCUUUAUCUGGAACACAUGAGCUCUGAUUGGCAUUAGCAAGGUAACCAGGGACAGUCUUCUCACCCUUCAGCAAUUUCUUCCUUCCUUAAAGUAUACACACUCAGCUCAGGCCCAGGACCUCUUACUUUCAUUUUCACUAGUUGGCCCCUCAGCCUGCUUGCUUUGCUCUAAGUCUGGAGCUUUCGGCACAUCAGGGGCCAGGCUGAAACCCCAGAGCGGAUUCCUCCACUGCCAAACAAGGAAGUGUUCAACGAGCCUUUGGAAACUAAUAGCCAAGAGAGCUAAGUUAGCUUAUUUGGAAGUUAAUAUAUUGAAUGUUAUGUAUUUUUCACCAAAAUCAGACCUUUCAUAGAUUAGCUGUGUAUCUUCAUUAUAUCACAUUCUCUAAUAAAGGUUAAAGGUGUAUGUUUUAAGUAGACUCUACAUUCAUUUUAAGGUAUAAAGGUUUUUUUUCAGAGCCAGGUCAAGGGGAAUUCCACCAUAGAGGCUCUGUUUUUUUACUACAAAAUUUGUGCUGACUCUUAUGAUUUCUUGAGGAAUCUUAGAUGGCUAGUAUCUAAGGGAAUUAUCCCUGUGCCGAAAACAGAGAAAAACAUAGAACCUCUUUGUACAGAAUCUGCUAGGUACUAUUCUCUAUCCCCUCUCCCAGACGUCAAAUGCUUGUCUAGAAUUGGCCAUUGAUGGGGUUCCCUCGUUGUGCCUUCAGCUGGGCUGCUGGGAAAUGCACAGAGCCUCUGGCCAAGGACCAAGUGGAGCUUUGUUUUCUUCUGUGCCGAAAGGUGUUG